rnacentral:misc_RNA from 1 species
GAUGAAGAACGUAGUGAAAUGCGAUAAGUAAUGUGAAUUGCAGAAUUCAGUGAAUCAUCGAAUCUUUGAACGCAUCUUGCGCUCCUUGGUAUUCUGAGGAGCAUGCCUGUUUGAGUGUCAUUAAAUUCUCAACUACACUGACUUUGAAUUGGUGUGGCUUGGAUUUGGGGGGAAAAUUGUUGUGGGCUUUUUGUAUAGUCUGCUCCCCUGAAAUUGAUUAGCGGUACCUUUGUGGAACUGUCUACAGGUGUGAUAAUUAUCUACAUCUUAGACAUCUGCUGGAAUGCUGCUUUCUAAACCUUACUUGUAUUGACAAUCUUGACCUCAAAUCAGGUAGGACUACCCGCUGAACUUAAGCAUAUCAAUAAGCGGAGGA